rnacentral:lncRNA from 1 species
UUGUCAUGGAGAUAAUUUCCGCUCGCAAUUUGCCGCCCAGCAGGGCAUUCUGGGAUUACGGGGUCCCCCAAACUGUCAUGGCGUCCUAGGAAGAUGGCGACUGCCAUACAACAGGCUUUCCUGGAGUAUCUAAUAAUUUAAAUUCAAGGCAUUGGCGACAUAGCUAGUGACAGAGGGCCAAGAGAACGGUGGACUGACUGCCAGGGGCCAGCGAUUUUUAGGCCAUCAAUCACCCCCACAGAGCUGAUAAAAUGGAGUGUGCAGUUGACACACAGCCAGGCGGGGACGAGGCUGCAGAGCAAGAACACACUCUGGAGGAAACAUCUGCAAAGGAAGGAAGUGAGACGCCGCAGAAGAAGAACAAGAAGCACAAAAAACACAAGAGCAAGAAGAAGAAGAAGAAACGUGGCAAGGGAGAGCGAGAGACGAGCUCAGAGUCGGCCCCAGAGUCCGACGUAGAAAAGCCGCCAGUCAGAACCAGGGCAGGCUUGAGGAGUGCUGGCCCAGUGGCCUCCGAUACAGGAGUAGACACGAAAGAGGAGGCAACAAAGGACUUGAUCACAGCUAUACCUGAGGUAGAAGGUGACGCUAAAGCCAGAAAACACAAAAGACAUGCUGGGAAAAAGAAGAGAAAAAGGAGGAGAAAAGGGGAAGAAAAGCAGGAGAAGAACUCUUCUUCACACUCCCUAUCAGAGAGCGAAUCUAUGUCAGGAACAGAUUCUGAGUCUGAGGGGAAGCCAGCUGGCAUGGUAGUGCAGGCUGUUCCCAUGCAGUCUAAGGCCAGGCAAGAGGAGCGAGUUCCCUCCCUAUGCAUCACUUUGGCCCAAAAAGAGGAAUCUCUGAAAGUGAUGUGUCAACCCUCAGAUAAUGAGUCUGCGGAUGCAGGAGGAAAGACUGAAGAGAAGGUUUCCCCUGCUAACAGGGAGAACCAAACCAUCUCUGUCACAAAACCGGAAGAUCCACGGAGCGACAGGAGCUUCAGCCACACCCAGGAGCUUCCUGACAUCAUCCCCAAGCAGGAUGGCCAGAAGGAGGAAACCAAACCAGAGCAGAGGUCAAAGGUGAAGAACCAGGCUCCCUCCAGGUCAAGGUCAGGGUCGCUGACAGACACUAAGAUGGCUAGAUCAAGUCUUAGUCGUUCGCCAAGCCCUAAGCGGUCCAGAUCAAGUCGCAGUCGUUCACGAAGCCCCGCGGGAUUGUCUAGUCAGCCUGUGUCUGGCAGGGGCAGGUCUCGAUCUGGCUCAAAAAGCAUGACUCCCAAGAGGAAGCAGUCCAAGUCCCCCAAAAGGACAAGACGCAAGUCCCCAUCUCUGUCCCCCAGGACAAGACGCAAGUCCCCAUCUCUGUCCCCCAGGACAAGACGCAAGUCCCCAUCUCUGUCCCCCAUGACAGGACGCAAGUCCCCAUCUCUUCCCCCAGGAGAGACGCAAGUCCCCAUCUCUGUCCCCCAGGAGAGGACGCAAGUCCCCAUCUCGGUCCCCCAGGAGAGGACGCAAGUCCCAUCUCUGUCCCCCAGGAGAGACGCAAGUCCCCACCUGUCCCCAGGAGAGGACGCAAGUCCCCACUCGGUCCCCCAGGAGGAAGGAACGCAAGUCCCACUCUGUCCCCCAGGAAAGGACGCAUGUCUCCAAAGAGGGGACGCAAGUCCCCUUCUGUCCCCUAAGAGACGACGUAUGUCCCCUCUGUCACCCUGGAGAGGACGCAAGUCUCCUUCUCUGUCCCCUAGACGAGGGCGCAAGUUGUCUCCUCUGUCCCCUAGACGAGGGCGCAAGUUGUCCCCUUCUCUGUCCCCUAGACGAGGGCGCAAGUUGUCCCCUUCUCUGUCCCCUAGGAGAGGGCGCAAGUUGUCCCCUUCUCUGUCCCCUAGGAGAGGGCGAAAGUCCUCUCCUUUGUCCCCUAGAAGAGGACGCAAGUCUCUGUCUAAAUCCCCUAGGAGAGGACGCAAACUGUCUCCAUCUCCCAGACGAGGGCGGCGGUCUGAGUCCAGGUCACAUGGCUGUGUCAGAAGGUCUAGGACCAGAACCCCCCCCCCUCGUCGAGGUAGACGUCCGUGGUCCCGCUCACCUGUGAGGCAGACUCGCCGUUCACGCUCCAGAUCUAGACGGCUCCAUCGCUCCCGGUCAAUGAGGAGAGGACGGCAUUCCCAGAGCAGCUCCCCGUCUCGCAGAAAGAGGUCCCCCCCAAGGACACGACGGUCCCGGUCUCCGGUCAGGAGAGGUAGGCGGACUCGUUCCCGCUCCGUCGUGAUCCUGAAGAGGAACAGGAAAGGUUCACGGUCCAAAUCCCCACGGGGCAAGGACAACAAGUCCCGCUCCCGUAGCCGCAGGAUAUCCAGGUCACCAGUUAAGAAAAUAUGUUCUAGAUCACCGAAGCGGAGCAGGACAAAGUCCAGAUCCCCAGGACGCAGUAAACCAUCAACAUCACGAUCACUAUCGCCGCGUAACCAGUCCAAGUCUCAUACUCCUAAAUCCAAAUCCCAGAAAAUAAACAAGCAUUCAAUGUCAAAAUCACCCACCAGCGACAAAUCCAAGUCUGUCUCAAGCGACAGGCAUUCUGAGAGCGUAUCCCCAGAACGCUCAAGAUCCAGGUCUACUGCCAAGGACCUAAAGUCUCCAAAAAUGGCUGACAAGCAAACUGCAGACACGACUGUGAAUAAUGAAGCGUCUACUAAGUCUGUUGGGGAAGCUGUAGCUGCAGCAGAGCCCUGGAAGCCCCUCGCUUUGGCUGCUGCCUCCAGAUCUACCACACAGGGCAAGCCAAUGGCUGGGCAUGCUGAAGAGAGCACCUCUGAGAUUCCAUCUGAAGACCAUGACUCUGCAGAAGAAGAGCCAAAGGUGGCAAGAAGCCCAACAAGUUCCUCUGAAGAAGAACCGGAUGAGCAUGCUACGUCCAGGUCUGUUUCACCAGAGACUGUUCCUGCUGAUCGCUGCUCCAGGUCCUCACCUUCUAAAUCUCCCAUUAAGAAGACAUUUUCAAAACAACGGCAGUCCUCAACUUCAGCUUCUCCUAGUAGGAAGUCCCGAUCACCUGCUGGUAGGAAGAUGUCCACCUCUCCCUCAUGGAGGUGCUCCCGGUCCAAGUCCAUCUCACCCUCUCAGUCCAAGUCUGCCUCCAGAAGGAGACGUUCCAAGUCCCCAGCCAGGAAAAGGAAGUCUGUCUCCCCGCCUACCAGACGGAAGAAGAGGUCUAAGUCCAGAAGUCCGGCCCGGCGCAGGAGAUCACGGUCUAAGUCACCGGUACGGCGCAGGAAGUCGCGUUCCAAGUCCAGAGUCAGGACCAAGCGCUCUAAGUCCCGCUCCCCAGCCAGAAGGAAGAGGUCCAAGUCUGCAGACAGGAGCAAACGCUCCAAGUCUCGUUCUCCAGGCCGGAGGAGAAGGUCCCGCUCCGGGUCGCGGCGGCGGCGGCCCGUCAUGCGGAAUCGCUCGUUUGACCGACGCGACCGAUGGAAACGGGAACCAAGCCACUCACCAAUCCUCAUCCUCCGCAAGCGCCGUUCCACAUCUCGAGGCCGCCGCAGUGCCAGCAAGACCCCGCCUCGUCUCACUGAGCUAGACAAAGACCAGCUCCUGGAGAUAGCGAAGGCCAAUGCAGCAGCCAUGUGUGCUAAAGCAGGUGUGCCCAUCCCAGAGAGUCUGAGACCCAAGGCCAUCCUCCAGCUGCCCCUGCCCAACCCAGCCCCAACUCCCCUGAAUCUGCCUCUUCCCCUGCCGUUGCCUCUUAACAUGCCCGGCAUGGGCAUGCCCAAUAUGCCCAACAUGAACAUGCACAUGCCCAACAUGCACAUGCCCAACAUGCACAUGUCCAACAUGCCCAACAUGCACAUGCCCAACAUGCACAUGCCCAACAUGAACAUGCCCAACAUGAACAUGCCCAACAUGAACAUGCCCAACAUGAAUAUGAGUAUGCCCAAUAUGAAUAUGCCUAAUAUGGGCAAUAUGUCCAAUAUGGCCAUGAGUGCUGCCAUGGCCAGUAUGACAGCUGCCACCAUGACUGCAGCCCUCACCAACAUGGCCCAGAUGUCAAACAUGCCCCAGAUGGCCCCCCUCCCCACUAUCACCAACAAAGCCCAGAUGGCCCCCCUCCCCACCAUCACCAACAAGCCCCCUCCUAGCCAGGUUCCCCAAACAACCCUUCCCCCCCUUAACCUGGACCACAUAGAGGAGGUGAAGAGGAAGGUGACUCAGCAGGCCAACAUAUACAGCAUCAAGGAGCUCACUGAGAAAUGUAAGAUGAUAGCGGCAAGUAAAGAGGAGAUGGCCAUAGCGAAGCCACACGUGUCUGAUGACGAAGAUGAGGACAGGAAGCCACGCGGCAAGAGCUUCCUCAGUUAACUUUUAUUUGGGGCGGAUCACAUGAGGCGAAAGGCUCCCCAUGGAAACAUCACCGGGCGGACAGAAGUGCGGGUUGUUGUGGUUACAGAGAAGGAACAGUGUCAGAUACUGCCAGCCCCUUUUCCCUGGACAAUCAUUCCCUCCCCCAGCCCCUCCCAUCAUGCUCUAGUUGUCUGGGUUUCCACAUGCUUCCAAAGCCACGGUUGGAUUCCAAAGCUACAAAGUAAAAAUUGGCUACAAAAAUUAGCUUUUUGGUCUUCAUUUAGGAUUAGGCAUAAAGUUAGGAGUAUGUUUCAAAUCAAAUUUGAAGAAGAAAUUGUACAAAUGCGUGGGGUUUAGCCAUAAUUAUGACUUCGUGGCUAUGGAAGCUAGUGACGACCCAUUGGACAGAUUGGAGUGUACAGUGUGGUUACUCCUAGCUUCUACACAUUGGUCAGACAGCUGUCUGGACAAUGACUGAAGAUAAAUGAAAGAAGGAACACACUUUCAAAUUUUGUCGACUCUUUCUAAUGUUAAACUUUUUGUGUUUAGUUUUUGUGUUAAGUGAUUAAAUUACCAGCUCACGGUUCCUUUAGUGACAUUUUAACCUGUGAGUGAACUGCUAGGACUGCCCUCGGUGCGCGCACCCACAGAUGUCAUUAAUAUGAUGGUCAGCUGUUUUUGUAGUGAUGGGCAGACUGACCAGGUGUCUCCAUUGAGAAGACAAACUGAUCAGGGCUUUGGAGGAUCCACUCUUAAUGUUUUGUCACUUCUAGUAUUUCUCUGGUGUUUUUCUGUUAAAUACCUGAUGUAAUCUUUAGCUAUUUUAAUGACUUAAAAUACAUUUUAGGAUUUCCUUGGUCAGUAGGGUAUUAUUUGGCUGGCUUUGUACAUAAUGUAUUGAUGAUUAUUAAAGGAAACCAGAAAAUUACCUUUCUUGUGUUCUUUAUGUAGGAGCUAUUAAGGUCAGAAGUACUGAUGUAUAUUAUUUCAUUCUAAUCGGAGAUUGGUUCAGACCUGGGACACCAGGUGAGACUUCUCUCUGACCUCUUACAGAUACAUGACUAACUAUGACUAACUAUGGUCCACUCACACAGACAGCAUUGUGAAGAAGGCGCAGCAGCGCCUCUUCAACCUCAGGAGGCUGAAGAAAUUCGGCUUGUCACCAAAAGCACUCACAAACUUCUACAGAUGCACAAUCGAGAGCAUCCUGGCGGGCUGUAUCACCGCCUGGUACGGCAACUGCUCCGCCCUCAACCGUAAGGCUCUCCAGAGGGUAGUGAGGUCUGCACAACGCAUCACUGGGGGCAAACUACCUGCCCUCCAGGACACCUACACCACCCGAUGUUACAGGAAGGCCAUAAAGAUCAUCAAGGACAUCAACCACCCGAGCCACUGCCUGUUCACCCCGCUAUCAUCCAGAAGGCGAGGUCAGUACAGGUGCAUCAAAGCUGGGACCGAGAGACUGAAAAACAGCUUCUAUCUCAAGGCCAUCAGACUGUUAAACAGCCACCACUAACAUUGAGUGGCUGCUGCCAACACACUGACACUGACUCAACUCCAGCCACUUUAAUAAUGGGAAUUGAUGGGAAAUGAUGUAAAUAUAUCACUAGCCACUUUAAACAAUGCUACCUUAUAUAAUGUUUACAUACCCUACAUUAUUCAUCUCAUAUGCAUACGUAUAUACUGUACUCUAUAUCAUCGACUGCAUCCUUAUGUAAUACAUGUAUCACUAGCCACUAACUAUGCCACUUUGUUUACAUACUCAUCUCAUAUGUAUAUACUGUACUCGAUAUCAGCUACUGUAUCUUGCCUAUGCUGCUCUGUACCAUCACUCAUUCAUAUAUCCUUAUGUACAUAUUCUUUAUCCCCUUACACUGUGUAUAAGACCGUAGUUUUGGAAUUGUUAGUUAGAUUACUUGUUGGUUAUUACUGCAUUGUCGGAACUAGAAGCACAAGCAUUUCGCUACACUCGCAUUAACAUCUGCUAACCAUGUGUAUGUGACAAAUAAAAUUUGAUUUGAUUUGACUAAGUUUUUAAGCCCCC